GCGGGGGGGGGGGGGGGAACGCGUCUGAGGCGCGGGUGUCGCGCGGGUCUGUGCUGUCGGGUGAAGUGGCUCUGCCAGGCUCUCCGGACCGCACGGUCAGGCAGUGAGCGUGACCGGGGCACGGGGUGUUCCGUGCGAGGCGCCGCGGGACUGCGAAGAGACAGGCGGCGGUCGGGAAACUUUUUGCAGUACAGCUCCUUCUGGGUGAUACGUGACUUAUCAGAGCUAUCCGUUUGGUUAGUGCCGGAACCCAGGUCUCACUUCAGCCUGACGUCCCAUUCCACAAGCCCUUUCAACAACUGUUGAACAGCUGCCUAUGUUGGGGACUCCACAGAUGUUUGGUGCCGAGCCAAGUGGCCACUCGUGUCUGCCGUCUGUCCCAGAGAGCAUCCAAGCGGGAGAGAGGAGCAGAGAGAGAGAGAGAGAGAGAGAGAGAGAGAGAG